GCCGAAGUCAACAAGGCUAGCGGGACGCCCCCAUCCGGCUCCGCCCCCACAGGGAUCGCUCCGCCCCCAUCCCCAAACAACGCGAGGUCUUGAAGAGACCUGGGGACCGACCCUGUUGGGAGAGAUCGCGCGAGAACAGAGCCUCAACCUCCCCGCCCCCUUCCCCGCGUCCUUAACGCUCCGGGACAGAAGAGCUGCUGAAAGGCGGUCUCCCGUGGCGGAGUGCACUUCAGAUCCUGAGAGAUGGAAACCAUUACCCUCAAUUGGUCAACAGAAAAGUGGGAAAUGGCUGUAUGAAGAGAUGAUCUCCAAGAACCUUUAAAGGACUAAAAUGGCUUGACCGAGACUCGGAGGAACAGUAGGUGAUGUGGGGAUUGGCUCCCAUGUGGCCGUACAACAAGAGCCAGAGUGUGGGAGUUACCUGCCUGCAGGGAGAACCUUGGACAGUGAGAAAUGAGAUGCAGGAGGGAGCUGAGCAAAUAAACUCACCCUCUGCUUUGGACUACUCCCGAGUCCUGCAUGUGGACAGGCAGGUUGUUCUCCAGCUGAUGCCAAGUGUUGUCAUGUGUCAUGCAUCACAGUGUGUCAUAUAUUUCCUUGCCUAAUUUUA